rnacentral:misc_RNA from 1 species
AACCUUAUGGACCUGCGGGCGUAUACCUGCGGAAGGAUCAUUACAGAGUGUGACCCCUCUUAAAAAUUGGGGGUACCUCCCGUCCUUUGUUGAGUCCCUAUUUUUAGGGGCUUUAAACUUUUCUGCUUCGGCGGGGUAACCCGCCGGAACACCCUCAAAAUUCUUUUGAUUUUAAACAGUUCAGUCCGAGUACUUUUUUGAAAAUAAAUUCAAAACUUUUAACAAUGGAUCUCAGAUCGG